rnacentral:lncRNA from 1 species
CAAAAUUUGGAGCUUUGAAUUAUUUUUGUGAUUUUUUUUCCCAUUUUUUGCUCUUGCUAUAAGUCGUAGCUCUCAAAGGUUGCAACCAUCAAUCUCAAACCCUAUUCUACUUGCAAUAUAGCUUGAACCAUCAAAAAGUUAGUGGCAAAUCUAGUCUUACCAUACCGUUUCAAAUCCCGUCCAUUUGUGUGUUUUCUCAUUAAAUCUAAAAUAAUGAUAGGCCGAUACAAAAAAUCCACUAUAAACUUAGUACCUUAAUGACAUAUUUUACCCAAGUGACAUCUUUAUCAAUAUCUUCUAGAA